rnacentral:rRNA from 1 species
UUUAAAGGUCGAACAGACCUAUUACUUAAAGCUUCUGCACUCUAAAAUUUCUUUAAUUCAACAUCGAGGUCGCAAACUUUGUUAUAGAUAUGAACUCUCCAACAAAAUUACGCUGUUAUCCCUAAGGUAACUUAUUCUACUAAUCAAUAAUAAUGGAUCAAAUAUUCAUAAAUCAAUGGUUUUAUGUUAAAAAAGUUUUAUUAAUUUUCCUGUCACCCCAACAAAAUAUAAAAAUAAAUAAAUAAAAUUAUUUUACUAUAAAUAUUUACAUAAAAUUAUAUAAAGUUCUAUAGGGUCUUCUCGUCCUCUAAUAAUAUUCAAGCCUUUUAACUAGAAAGCUAAAUUAUUAUAAUUAUAAAAGUGAGACAGUUUGUAUUUCGUUCAACCAUUCAUACUAGCCUUUAAUUAAAAAGCAAAUGAUUAUGCUACCUUUGCACAGUCAGAAUACUGCGGCCCUUCAAAAUUCAGUGGGCAGGCCAGACUUAAUAUUAUAAUCAAAAAGAC